UUGAACGCUGGCGGCAGGCCUAACCCCUGCAAGUCGAACGGUAACAGGAAGCAGCUUGCUGCUUUGCUGACGAGUGGCGGACGGGUGAGUAAUGUCUGGGAAACUGCCCGAUGGAGGGGGAUAACUACUGGAAACGGUAGCUAAUACCGCAUAACGUCGCAAGACCAAAGAGGGGGACCUUAGGGCCUCUUGCCACCGGAUGUGCCCAGAUGGGAUUAGCUAGUAGGUGGGGUAACGGCUCACCUAGGCGACGAUCCCUAGCUGGUCUGAGAGGAUGACCAGCCACACUGGAACUGAGACACGGUCCAGACUCCUACGGGAGGCAGCAGUGGGGAAUAUUGCACAAUGGGCGCAAGCCUGAUGCAGCCAUGCCGCGUGUAUGAAGAAGGCCUUCGGGUUGUAAAGUACUUUCAGCGGGGAGGAAGGGAGUAAAGUUAAUACCUUUGCUCAUUGACGUUACCCGCAGAAGAAGCACCGGCUAACUCCGUG
rnacentral:rRNA from 1 species